UCCCAGAUCGCCGUCAUCGCGUGCCUGGCUGUAGUGGCCGUAGCUGAUCAGGCCCCCUACCACCCACCUCCUACCCCCUACCACCCUCAACCUCGGCCUUACCACGGCGAACCAGACUACCCUGAUGUCCCACCCAAGUACACCUACAACUACGGCGUCGCCGACGGCUACUCCGGCGUCAACCUCGGUCACUCAGAAGCCCGCGACGGCUACAAGACCGAGGGCAGCUACACCGUCGACCUCCCCGACGGCCGCAAGCAGAUCGUCAACUACGUGGACAACGGCGACGGUCUUGUAGCUCAGGUCACCUACGAGGGCGAGGCUCAGUACCCCGAGCACACGCCCGCCUACAGGCCCGCUCCCCCCGCCUACCCUGCUCCCCAUGCAUAGAGACAUGUUGACAGUAUUGGACAUAUCAAAUCAUUUUCAAGUUUGCUUACUCAUCUUCAUUCUUAACAGAUAUGUUUGUUUGUUACUGUUUUUUAAUACAUUAAUAAACUGUUGAUUGUGUGAA